AAAUUGUUUUUGAAGAUUUCUUCUAGAAAAGCAUUACUCUUGUCGACUUCAGCCAUGAACAGCUGCUCGUCAUCAAAGUGGACAAAAUGGGAAUCAGUUCCUGCAACUCUGAAAUUAAUAAUACACUUGAGACUAUCUCAGCUAGUCUUAUGGAUAUUAAUGAGGUUCUUCUCCUUUUCAAACUGUAGUUUAUUGGCUAAAGUUGACCUUUUUCUUCAUUUCGUUUUUCAACUGGAAAUAUUUCAUUCCAGAAAACAAUUUUCUAUAUUCAUUAGUGUUAUUGUGUGGAUGAAAAGAAUUUGAUUUCCUUAGAACUUGGCAAACAAAUACGAAUUACAGAUAUGACUCAAACACAAACCAAUAUGAACUGUGAUAUCUGUACACAUAUUUCUAUUACUUCCAGAUUCUACUAAUUGUUGUGUGAGUGAUUCGGCCCAUUUUUAAUUCUUAUCUCCAAAACAAAAAUAAUUUAUAUGUGCUGAAUGUAUGUGAGUCAUGCAUGAUAGUUUUUGGAUUAAAAACUGUAUACAGCUAGUCCUUGACUUAUGAUUGUAAUUGAGCACAGAAUUAGAGUCGUAAGUCAUGCCACUUGUAAAGUGGGUCACCAUGUGACUGCACCCGAUUUUAUGACUUUUUUUGCAGGACCAAUGUAUCAAAACCGCAUUUCAUAUACUUUUGGUUUUAAUAAGACAGAAAAUCACAUGUUUACAUUCUACUUCAUUAGUAAUCCUUCAAAAGUUUCUUUUUUUGUAGAACACAAUAAUUGAUGUUAAUAUUAUGUGAAAAACAUGCAUUUUAGCCCUGUAGCAAAGCCCUAGAAAUCAAAAUGUUUCAUAGUAUGUCUAUUAGGAAUAGAACACAGAGCACAGCCUAAUUCAAAUACAAGGCCUUUGACUUAAGUGGAAACCAUUCUGAAAUACACGUGUUCAAAAAUUCUACCAAGCUGGUUGCAUCCCUGCAAAUGCAGAUAUCAACAAAUUUAUGUAUUUUUUAAAAACCAAUUUGCAAUGGCUACCUUGAUUUCAAAGUUUCUUUUAGGAAAAAAGAAACCCUGGAAAUUCUAUUAGAAUAAUAGUUACAGUAAACCAAGACCAAGAAGAUAUCAGAGAUAUGAGAUAUAUUUGAAUGUAUUUCUUAACACCAAAUUAAACACGGCUGUUUGUGAGAAAAACCAGAAACAAUAACAAGGGAAAUCUAUUCCAAAGCCUCCAGUAAAAAUGGCAUGGGUAUUAUGCAACAUGGUCUCACAGAAAGGGCAAUCUCAAGCCACCAUUGACUCAUUUUCUACUACAUCUUUUUAUGGAAACUGAAAAGUUUCACCUUAAUAAGAAAGAAAACCUUCGUGUUGUCAAGAGAAGUUGAAAGAAGAGAUCAAAUAGCCAUAUAUUACUCAUUUUUUUAAUUUCAACUUAUCUGUAUGGUGGCUACAUCAAAUUUCUCUGUUCAGAAAAAAAUCACUCCCAUUUCAUUGCCACUUUGGUGCAAAUUUAUUUUCAGCAUUCUUCUGACUCCUCUAUAGCUGGGUAUCAGUAGUCAUAUUUUUUGUUCAUUGCCAACUGUUCAGAGCACAUGUGUUCUGUCAGAAAUGGCACCUGGAUGAUAGAAACACUAGGAUUCACAUAUGCUCUGAAGCAAAGUUCCUUCCUCUUGGGCUAACUGAAAACGUGUAAAUAGAAAGUUCACUCAGUGUCGAGUUUAAUUAGUACACUGCUUCAUUAACAUAAAGAUGAAAAUUAUGUUUUAAUUGUAUCAUGUAAUAUCAGCAAGAAAUAUAAAAAUAUAUGGUAGCUUUAAAACCAUUUUCAUCUCUUCUCAAUACUGUCUCUGAAAUCUUUCUCAUACAGAAAACAACAUUAGAGUUUCUUUAAACUUUAUUGAAAGAUAUAAUUCUAGUUAUGCUAUAUCACGACUGCCCUCUCUUCAUAACCUUCAUUCCAAAGAAAUAUUAUUUUAAAAUAUAGAUGAUUAAAGUAUUUGAUUAGUGUUUUUCUGUUCAGAAAUGUUGGCUACAAAGGUUAUGAUGAGAUCCACAAACAUGGAUGCUUACACUAACCAUUCAAAUAGCAUUGGGGUGGUAACAUGACCCUAAUUAUUGGUCAGAAUUAGAAAGUUUAAUAAAUAAGGUUUCAGUUGGACUUAGUUUAUUAGCAUGGAACCACAAUACUUCUUAGUUCUAUUUACAAGCUAAUUGAGAGAAUGUUGAUUAUUCCAAACUUAAAGCAACUACUUUAAAUAGUGAAAAUGUGUGGAUUAUAUAUGUAGAUUUGUUCAAUCAUGAAAAAUUGUUAUGGCUAAGCAAAUAAUAAUACAGUUCUUUGAGACAGAAAAAAAUGUGAUAUUAGAAAUGUUUCUCCAAUACCUUGCUAAUAGAUUCUGCUGAUAUUAUGUAGAAUAAACAAUUACAUUCAUUCCAGUAAAUCAAUUGACUGGCAAAUGUUCCCUCUUAUUGAAGGGGUCACUUUUAUCAGUCUGCAAUCAUGUUGACCUCCACCUUGCAUAAUCUCUGCCUUUUGUAAGG